rnacentral:rRNA from 1 species
UACAGAGGUCUCAAGCGUUGUUCGGAUUCAUUGGGCGUAAAGGGUGCGUAGGCGGCGCGGUAAGUCGGGUGUGAAAUCUCGGAGCUUAACUCCGAAACUGCAUUCGAUACUGCCGUGCUUGAGGACUGGAGAGGAGACUGGAAUUUACGGUGUAGCGGUGAAAUGCGUAGAGAUCCGGAAGAACACCGGUGGCGAAGGCGGCCUGCUGGGCAGUAGCUGACACUGAGGCGCGACAGCGUGGGGAGCAAACAGG